rnacentral:rRNA from 1 species
UACAGCGGUCCCAAGCGUUGUUCGGAUUCAUUGGGCGUAAAGGGUGCGUAGGUGGCGCCGUAAGUCGGGUGUGAAAUUUCGGAGCUUAACUCCGACACUGCAUUCGAUACUGCGGUGCUUGAGGACUGGAGAGGAGACUGGAAUUCAUGGUGUAGCAGUGAAAUGCGUAGAGAUCAUGAGGAAGACCAGUGGCGAAGGCGGGUUUCUGGACCACAUCUGACGCUGAGGCGCGAAAGCUAGGGGAGCAAACAGG